rnacentral:rRNA from 1 species
AACGAACGCUGGCGGCAUGCCUAACACAUGCAAGUCGAACGAGACCUUCGGGUCUAGUGGCGCACGGGUGCGUAACGCGUGGGAACCUGCCCUUAGGUUCGGAAUAACUCCCCGAAAGGGGUGCUAAUACCGGAUAAUGUCUUCGGACCAAAGAUUUAUCGCCUUUGGAUGGGCCCGCGUUGGAUUAGCUAGUUGGUAGGGUAAAAGCCUACCAAGGCGACGAUCCAUAGCUGGUCUGAGAGGAUGAUCAGCCACACUGGGACUGAGACACGGCCCAGACUCCUACGGGAGGCAGCAGUGGGGAAUAUUGGACAAUGGGCGAAAGCCUGAUAAAGCAAUGCCGCGUGAGUGAUGAAGGCCUUAGGGUUGUAAAGCUCUUUUACCCGGGAUGAUAAUGACAGUACCGGGAGAAUAAGCUCCGGCUAACUACGUG